CCUCUGGUGGCUGCAGCGCCGGCUCAGUCCAGGCAAGGUGGCCUGCCGGCUGUUUAGGUGGCUCCGAGGGCUCAGUGUUGAGUACUCAUCCUGUAACUCCGAUUGAAACGUGGAUAAUAUUGCCUCCCCCGCCAUAAAUCACUAGCGUCCUCUACCUUGAGUAAAGCAAAAGCGAACACAAGGCCUGCGUUGGAGGAACCAGGCACUGGGACAAGCAGCAAGUUAGUUGACCUCGUGGCGGCUGUGAAACUGUCCCUCCAGGGUCCAGCCCUGCUGCAAGCUCCCAACCUGCUGCGAGGAGUCCUCAGACCCUACUUGAGAAGUGGAUGGGGUGAGAGACAGAAACUGCCACCUUCACGAGUUAUCAGCAGAUAGCAGGAGCAUUGCCUAUCUCAGGGCGGAACCCACCGCUACCAAGUACGCCAGCAAAACAAGGUUCUGCUUCUACUCUGGUUCAGUAGUGGGAGUCACGGAAAGUUAAAUGUUCUAAUGCUCUACUUAUUUCAUACGGUGUGAGAAAACGCUACUCUUCGGCAUGGAAUUUUCUACCCAGAAGGAGUUAGAUGCGCCUUUUCCAAGGAAGACUCCAAAUGCAGGACCUUGAAGCCAUGAGCCCUAGUUUGAGGAACUACUGAAGAAGGAAAAGGAAGAGAAGGAAGAGGAAGAGGAGGAAGAGGACAUGAUUGUUGACCGUGUGGUACGAGAAAAGUCGGGGCUGUGUGUGUGACCCAGUGAUUCUUUGCUAGUAAAGCCGACUAGUUUUGCCUCUACACUCUGACCACUGCAUAAAGGGUGUUGCAAAUUCAUCAUUACUGAAGUUAUUAUUAAAAAGCAAACAAGUAAAGCUAAGGAAUUAUUUUGAAGACAAUUUUUGGUUAUCAAAUUUCAAAAUGAAUGUACUGCACCGAAAGACAACUUGAAGAUAAUGGGCAGAAUGAACAAGAGGUGUGAUAAUGUUUACAAAUCCUUUUGGGCAUGUGCCUUUCUACAUAAAACACAUGGCUCCUUAAAUACAAGAAGCAAGGAGGACUUCUGCCAAGAUGGAGGCAUAGGUGGAAGCACUGUGCCUUCUCACACAACCAAGUUUAAAAACAACAAAGUUUUAGCAACAAUAAUGCAGCCAAACCACAGAAAAUUGAACUAUACGGAAGUCUGACAACAACGAACCCUUCAGCCAAACCAGUAAGAGGGGCAGAGCCAGCAGGAGAGUGGGGUCGGGCAGGAAAGAUCCACCGGACCAACCUGGGUGCGCGACCCAGGUGCGCCAGCAGCCGUGGGU